rnacentral:tRNA from 1 species
GGUUCUGUGGUGUAGUUGGUUAUCACGCUUGUCUAACAUCCAGAAGGUGCUGGACACAAGAGGUCCCCGGAUCGAGCCCGGGCGGAAUCA